GGGGCCGUGGGGUAGCUUGGCAUCCUUCCGGCUUCGGGUGUGAAGGGGCACCAAGGUUCCCCUUUCAAAACCCCUCCUCCGGAAGAGCCGGAGACUCGAGUUCAAAUCUCGGCGGCCCCAGAGCCGGAGACUCGAGUUCAAAUCUCGGCGGCCCCA
rnacentral:tRNA from 1 species